UAUCCGUAGGUGAACCUGCGGAGGGAUCAUUACAGAGUUCAUGCCCUACCGGGUAGAUCUCCCACCCUAUGUUAUUAUUACUUUGUUGCUUUGGCGGGCCGUUAGGCUCCGGCCCGACUACCGGCCCCGGCUGGUAAGCGCCCGCCAGAGGACCCAAAACCCUGAAUAUUAGUGUCGUCUGAGUACUAUAUAAUAGUUAAAACUUCCAACAACGGAUCUCUUGGUUCUG
rnacentral:misc_RNA from 1 species